CAAACAUACAGUCAAUAACACAAUAGAAAAAAAAGAAAGUCUAUAUACAGUGUGUGCAAAUGGCGUGAGGAGGUAAGGCAAUAAAUAGGCCAUAGUAGCGAAGUAAUUACAAUUUAGCAGAUUAACACGAGUGAUACAGUGGGGCAAAAAAGUAUUUAGUCAGACACCAAUUGUGCAAGUUCUCCCACUUAAAAAGAUGAGAGGCCUGUAAUUUAUCAUAGGUACACUUCAACUAUGACAGACAAAAUGAGAAAAAAAAUCCACAAAAUCACAUUGCAGGGUUUUUAAUGAAUUUAUUUGCAAAUUAUGGUGAUCCAGUCCACUAGAUCCAGUCCACUAGACCCAGUCCAUCUCCAUCCAGUCCACUAGAUCCAAUCCAUCUCCAUCCAGUCCACUAAAUCCAGUCCACUAGACCCAGUCCAUCUCCAUCCAGUCCACUAGAUCCAAUCCAUCUCCAUCCAGUCCACUAGACCCAGUCUACUAGAUCCAGUCCAUCUCAGGUAGUCAUUACAGUAAUGUUGUCCCAGUGUGCACAGACUCCUAAGAGCUGUGAGGUAGUACCUGGUGGGUUGCUGAUUGGCUUAUACUUUAAAGCAGUUAACUGUGUAAAAUAUAGUCAUUAACUUACCUAACUAGCUGCCCUCUGACCAUGAGGUUAUUAACUUACCUAACUAGCUGCCCUCUGACCAUGAGGUUAUUAACUUACCUAACUAGUUGCCCUCUGACCAUGAGGUCAUUAACUUACCUAACUAGUUGCCCUCUGACCAUGAGGUCAUUAACUUACCUAACUAGUUGCCCUCUGACCAUGAGGUCAUUAACUUACCUAACUAGCUGCCCUCUGACCAUGAGGUUAUUAACUUCUAUCUCCUCCAUCUUGGCUCCAACAUGGCUCUAUCUCCUCCAUCUUGGCUCCAACAUGGCUCUAUCUCCUCUAAGACUGUGUUCUUCUAUCUCCUCCAUCUUGGCUCUAUCUCUCCAUGGCUCUCUAUGUUAGUGGGUUACUCCCUGUUGUCAGAUCGUACUAGAGUAAUCACUGUGUGUGGUGUAUUGUGGUGGUGAAGGUGGUUCUUCCUGGUCCUCUCCUCACUGGCCCCGGAGCUUCAGGAUGGUUUCCACAGCCUCUGCCAGGUUGUCCACAUAGCCAUCAGCUGUUACUGUGGGGUGCUUCUCAUCACUGGGCCUACAGAGAGAGACAGAGAGAGAGACAGAGAGAGACAGACAGACAGACAGAGAGAGACAGACAGACAGACAGAGAGAGACAGACAGACAGACAGACAGAGACAGACAGGCAGAGACAGACAGACAGACAGACAGGAGACAGACAGAGACAGAGAGAGACAGACAGACAGGCAGAGACAGACAGACAGACAGGCAGAGACAGAGACAGACAGACAGACAGAGAGAGAGAGACAGACAGACAGAAACAGACAGACAGACAGAGACAGAGAGACAGAGAGACAGACAGACAGAGACAGACAGACAGACAGACAGGCAGAGACAGACAGGCAGAGACAGACAGACAGACAGGAGACAGACAGACAGACAGGCAGAGACAGACAGACAGACAGGCAGAGACAGAGACAGACAGACAGAGAGAGAGACAGACAGACAGACAGACAGACAGACAGACAGAGACAGAGAGACAGAGAAACAGACAGACAGACAGACAGAGAGAGAGAGGGACAGAGAGACAGAGAAACAGACAGAGAGAGAGAGAAACAGACAGAGACAGACAGACAGAAACAAACAGACAGACAGAGACAGAGACAGAGACAGAGAGGGACAGAGAGAGGCUGAAUGCAGUGUUGUGCAGCAUUGAACAUUGAGGAGGUCAUACAUGCCUUGUGUUAACUGUCUGUCAACAAAUCAAAUCACAUUUUAUUUGUCACAUGCGCAGAAUACAACAGGUUACAGUGAAACAGCGUACUGUACAAGCCCUUAGCCGACAGGUGUAGACCUUACAGUGAAACAGCGUACUGUACAAGCCCUUAACCAAGUCAACAAACAGGUCACUGACCAUCUCGAAUCCCACCGUACCUUCUCCGCUGUGCAAUCUGGUUUCCGAGCCGGUCACGGGUGCACCUCAGCAUCACUCAAGGUAAUAAACGAUAUCAUAACCGCCAUCGAUAAAAGACAGUACUGUGCAGCCGUCUUCAUCGACCUUGCCAAGGCUUUCGACUCUGUCAAUCACCAUAUUCUUAUCGGCAGACUCAGUAGCCUCGGUUUUUCGGAUGACUGCCUUGCCUGGUUCACCAAUUACUUUGCAGACAGAGUUCAGUGUGUCAAAUCGGAGGGCAUGCUGUCCGGUCCUCUGGCAGUCUCUAUGGGGGUGCCACAGGGUUCAAUUCUCGGGCCAACUCUUUUCUCUGUAUAUAUCAAUGAUGUUGCUCUUGCUGCGGGCGAUUCCCUGAUCCACCUCUACACAGACGACACCAUUCUAUAUACUUUCGGCCCGUCAUUGGACACUGUGCUAUCAAACCUCCAAACAAGCUUCAAUGCCAUACAACACUCCUUCCGUG
ensembl:lncRNA